GUAAUGAUGGCCAGGCUGUCUCCACCCGAGACUCAGUGAAAUUGAACUCGCUGUGAAGAUGCAGUGUACCCGCGGCAAGACGGAAAGACCCCGUGAACCUUUACUAUAGCUUGACACUGAACAUUGAGCCUUGAUGUGUAGGAUAGGUGGGAGGCUUUGAAGUGUGGACGCCAGUCUGCAUGGAGCCGACCUUGAAAUACCACCCUUUAAUGUUUGAUGUUCUAACGUUGGCCCGUAAUCCGGGUUGCGGACAGUGUCUGGUGGGUAGUUUGACUGGGGCGGUCUCCUCCUAAAGAGUAACGGAGGAGCACGAAGGUUGGCUAAUCCUGGUCGGACAUCAGGAGGUUAGUGCAAUGGCAUAAGCCAGCUUGACUGCGAGCGUGACGGCGCGAGCAGGUGCGAAAGCAGGUCAUAGUGAUCCGGUGGUUCUGAAUGGAAGGGCCAUCGCUCAACGGAUAAAAGGUACUCCGGGGAUAACAGGCUGAUACCGCCCAAGAGUUCAUAUCGACGGCGGUGUUUGGCACCUCGAUGUCGGCUCAUCACAUCCUGGGGCUGAAGUAGGUCCCAAGGGUAUGGCUGUUCGCCAUUUAAAGUGGUACGCGAGCUGGGUUUAGAACGUCGUGAGACAGUUCGGUCCCUAUCUGCCGUGGGCGCUGGAGAACUGAGGGGGGCUGCUCCUAGUACGAGAGGACCGGAGUGGACGCAUCACUGGUGUUCGGGUUGUCAUGCCAAUGGCACUGCCCGGUAGCUAAAUGCGGAAGAGAUAAGUGCUGAAAGCAUCUAAGCACGAAACUUGCCCCGAGAUGAGUUCUCCCUGACUCCUUGAGGGUCCUGAAGGAACGUUGAAGACGACGACGUUGAUAGGCCGGGUGUGUAAGCGCAGCGAUGCGUUGAGCUAACCGGUACUAAUGAACCGUGAGGCUUAACCUU
rnacentral:rRNA from 1 species